GGCGGGGGUCGCCUAGCCUGGUAGGGCGUGGGAUUGCUAAUCCCAUGUCCGAAAGCCGCGCCA
rnacentral:tRNA from 1 species